UUUUUUUGCGAAUAGUUUGUUUGUUGUAAAGAAAAGGAUUGUGAACAGAUGUUGGCCUUGUGCCAGUCCAGGUCUGGGCACUUUUCUUGUCAAACAAGUUUGCCAAAAAAAGACAAGGGAAAAGUGGGCGUUCUUUUUCUUGCGCUUCCUUUAUGCAAACAUUCUGGGGUUGUUCCCAUCUGAGCCCUUGACCUCUGAUAAUCAAGCAAAGACAAAGUUAAAAUUAGUAACUCAUCUCUAUCAAACAAAAAAGUACUUGGCCUGAUAACACAGUACUUAUAAAAAACGAUGGCAUGGUAGGUGAAAGAUGUUAAUUGAAAUUAAAAAGAAUUUACCUUUCUGCUUUGCUCCUUCAAAACAUUCCUCCUCUGUUUCCUUUCAUCACUCUUUUGCAGCUGCAUAAAAAACGAAAAAGUAGUCUCUUAUAGAACAGAUUAUAUUCAAACAAUAUUGAACUUAUGAUAACAAAAAUGAGGCACGAAAACACGAAAAAGAUUGCUGCGGUGAAAAAUGAUUUACCAUUUUUCUGAUACCAUCAAGCAACAUGCUAUCUGAUGCAUAUGUUUUUGUUAAAUCAAUGUUAGAGGCCUGAACUUUAGAAACAUUGCCAUGAAAAGUUUGGUCCAGGUCUUCAUUGAUGUUGUUGCUCUCUGAAUUUUGAUGGUUGGUAUCUCUGCUUACAUCCCCCUAUAAAAAGAAACAAGAAUAGAUAAACAAGAAUUUUGAAGGAUAGUCAAGUAUCAUCUGAGCACAAAUAAAUUGUUGUACUCUCAGUGCGCAAAACUCUAUUUGUAUCGAUAGCUUAAACUACCCAGCCUAAUCUAGUCUCAUCUCAGGGCUAUUUUCAUUAUCCAGCCAUAAUGCAACCUCUUGUGCAUGUAAAAGAAACAAACAAAAAAUUAAGAAUAAGUGGAUAUUAGGAAAAAAACAAUCUGGAUUUGUUAAGCGAAAAGUGUGGCUACCAAAAACAAAAGUGCCCAACCGAAGAGUGACGCCAAGCGAAAAAGCACGAGGUCGCUGGCAAAAACAAGACAAAAAAGCCCCUGUCGCAUAAAAGUAUGUGGUGGUGUGGCUGAUU
rnacentral:lncRNA from 1 species